UUUAUGAGGGAAUUAAGAAUUAAAAGGAAGGAAGGAAGGAAAUGAGACCAUUUUGGCCAUGACCUAGAGAGAGGAUAGAGAGAGAGAGAGAGUGGCAAGCUAGAGAGAGAGGAGGAAGGGGCUGCCAUUUUCUAGAGAGAAGGAGAAGAAGAAAGAGAGGAAGGAGGAGAAGAAGGGUUCAAGCGAGGGGUUUGAGCAAGGAGGUGCUUCUAGAUUGGAUUCUUGAUUUCUAUCAAGAGAGGCUCGUUGGGAAGUUGUAGUUUACUUAGCUUGGACCUGAGCAAAUAGGUUUCUCCAUGGCACACGUGGUGAUGUGGGAAGUUCUAUCGUCCUGGUGUGUAUGGCGUGGGGCAUCCUAUGGACGAAAAACGAUCACUUAAAGACGCCAUUUUAAUAAUGUUAUGUUUUAUGAGACUUUUUAAACUUAUCAGUGAGACUUAAAUUAUUAGUUGUUUUUUUUUUUUGGAACUUUGCAUAAAAACUCAUAUUUUCUUUUAAAACUAUUGGGGCCAACUUGCAUGUUUUUAAGCAAGACCCCACUGAAACCUUUAUAAUAAGUGGCUUUCUUUUAUA